GCUUAGAUUUUGAUCCUGGCUCAGGAUGAACGCUAGCGGCAGGCCUAAUACAUGCAAGUCGGACGGGAUCCAUCGGAGAGCUUGCUCGAAGAUGGUGAGAGUGGCGCACGGGUGCGUAACGCGUGAGCAACCUACCUCUAUCAGGGGGAUAGCCUCUCGAAAGAGAGAUUAACACCGCAUAACAUCAACAGUUCGCAUGUUCGGUUGAUUAAAUAUUUAUAGGAUAGAGAUGGGCUCGCGUGACAUUAGCUAGUUGGUAGGGUAACGGCUUACCAAGGCGACGAUGUCUAGGGGCUCUGAGAGGAGAAUCCCCCACACUGGUACUGAGACACGGACCAGACUCCUACGGGAGGCAGCAGUAAGGAAUAUUGGUCAAUGGGCGGAAGCCUGAACCAGCCAUGCCGCGUGCAGGAUGACUGCCCUAUGGGUUGUAAACUGCUUUUGUCCAGGAAUAAACCCAUAUACGUGUAUUUAGCUGAAUGUACUGGAAGAAUAAGGAUCGGCUAACUCCGUGCCAGCAGCCGCGGUAAUACGGAGGAUCCGAGCGUUAUCCGGAUUUAUUGGGUUUAAAGGGUGCGUAGGCGGCCUAUUAAGUCAGGGGUGAAAUACGGUGGCUCAACCAUCGCAGUGCCUUUGAUACUGAUUGGCUUGAAUCCAUUUGAAGUGGGCGGAAUAAGACAAGUAGCGGUGAAAUGCAUAGAUAUGUCUUAGAACUCCGAUUGCGAAGGCAGCUCACUAAGCUGGUAUUGACGCUGAUGCACGAAAGCGUGGGGAUCGAACAGGAUUAGAUACCCUGGUAGUCCACGCCCUAAACGAUGAUAACUCGAUGUUGGCGAUAGACAGCCAGCGUCCCAGCGAAAGCGUUAAGUUAUCCAC
rnacentral:rRNA from 1 species